GACGAACGCUGGCGGCGUGCUUAACACAUGCAAGUCGAACGGAAAGGCCCUGCUUUUGUGGGGUGCUCGAGUGGCGAACGGGUGAGUAACACGUGAGUAACCUGCCCUUGACUUUGGGAUAGCUUCAGGAAACUGGGGCUAAUACCGGAUAGGAGCUCCUGCUGCAUGGUGGGGGUUGGAAAGUUUCGGCGGUUGGGGAUGGACUCGCGGCUUAUUAGCUUGUUGGUGGGGUAGUGGCUUACCAAGGCUUUGACGGGUAGCCGGCCUGAGAGGGUGACCGGCCACAUUGGGACUGAGAUACGGCCCAGACUCCUACGGGAGGCAGCAGUGGGGAAUAUUGCACAAUGGGCGGAAGCCUGAUGCAGCAACGCCGCGUGCGGGAUGACGGCCUUCGGGUUGUAAACCGCUUUCGCCUGUGACGAAGCGUGAGUGACGGUAAUGGGUAAAGAAGCACCGGCUAACUACGUG
rnacentral:rRNA from 1 species